rnacentral:tRNA from 1 species
GUGGUGGUGGCUCGGUGGUAGAGCGCCUGCCUGGCAUGUGAGGCACUGGGUUCGAAUCUCAGCACCACA